rnacentral:snoRNA from 1 species
UCCAAGUGAUGUUAUCUUUUCAAUAUUUGCUACUUCAGAGGGCUCGUCCCAAUGAGACUAUUUUUCCACCAAGAUCUCUGAUGCA